rnacentral:rRNA from 1 species
AACGGCCAUACUUUAUGUUGAAUAUACCGGUUCUCGUUAGAUCACCGAAGUCAAGCAUCAUUGGGCGCGGUCAGUACUUGGGUGGGUGACCACCUGGGAACGCCGCGUGCCGUU